rnacentral:lncRNA from 1 species
UUUCAAUCCACAAACAAACCUGCCUAUAUAUUGUCCAUCCCAAUCUGUUCAUUGAUGAAAAAUCAUAAAGUACUAACAUUAUCAUCAUAAUGUAUUGACAUCCAAUAUGUUCUAACAAUAUCAUAAUAGUAAUAUCAUCCAAUUCUAAGCAAAAAUAAAUGUACCAAUAUCAUAAUAUACUAACAUCUAAAUGUACUAACAUCACUAUGAUCAAUAACAAAAUGAAACUAAAUUGUACAAAGUCUUCAGAUAGUUCUUCAUCGUCCAGCUCAUUUGUAGAUGGUUGGACUGGUGUGGGCUGGACUGAUCUGGGCUGAUGAGGGACGGCGGGUGACGGGGAGGGUAGUGGCUGGGUCGGAGGGACAGUGGAAGGAGUGUCUGAUGUUUGAGGCAGCGCUCUCAUGACCAGGGACUUGAAGCUUGAAAACUCGUCUCUCAAGUUAGUGUAUUCGUCUCUCAAUGCACGGUUUUCCUGGUCACGUUGCUCUAGUAGCUGUGUCAAGCGCUGGAUGGCCUCGGCAGCAGAAGGGGUGGAAGAAGAAGAAGGUUGGUGCUUCAGUGUACCUCCUUUUGAUGUUGUAUAGUUUGCAGCAAGUUGUCCUGCAUUGUAGACUCGUCCCUUUUUCUUCCCACCAACGACAUCGACCCAGCACUGUAUCCUACG